rnacentral:rRNA from 1 species
UGAGCAAUCUGCCCUUCUCGUCGGAAUAAGCGUUGGAAACGACGUUUAAUGCCGAAUACGACCUCCUUUCGCAUGAUCGGAGGUGGAAAGCUCCGGCGGAGAAGGAUGAGCUCGCGGCCUAUCAGCUAGUUGGUGAGGUAACGGCUCACCAAGGCAACGAUGCGUAGCCGACCUGAGAGGGUGAUCGGCCACAUUGGAACUGAGACACUGUCCAGACCUGUACGGGAG